CCCAGAGAUCCGCCUGCCUCUGCCUCCCGAGUGCUGGGAUUAAAGGCGUGCGCCACCACCGCCCGGCUGGGGUUUUAUUUUUUAAGGCUGUUUCUCUGUAGCUUUUUAAGCCCCCUGGAAUUUACUCUGUAGAAGACGAUGGCCUCGAACUAACAGAUCUACCUGUCUCUGGCUCCCAAGUGCUGGGGUUAAAGGCAUGCAUCACCACCACCCAGCUAAAUUUUAUUUAUGUAUUUUUGUGUAUUUAUGUACUGUUUAACAUGUUUUGUGUGCACAUAUGCCCAAAUGCAUCAGAUCUCAUUAUAGAUGGUUAUAAGCUACCAUGUGGUUACUGGGAACUAAACUCAGGAUCUGUAACCACUGAGCCAUCUUUCCAGCCUGGACUUUUGGUUUUGAGGGUGGGUCUAUACAACCCAACCUGGUCUCAAAUUUAAUUGUCCUGUCUCAGCCUCUUAAGUGCCUACACUACAAGUAGGCCACCCUACCUAGAGUAACUUCCACAAUGUGGUGUUGUCAUUAAAGUUCAUCAUAGUGCUCUUUUGGGAACAUUAUUUAGCCCGGUGUUCACCUUUUAAACCCUUAGGACAGUCAGAGGCCACCAUGGCACACCUAACUGCAUAGUUCCCAGAGUCCCAUGCAUCAUGAAUUUGUUAAUAACAAAUGAUUUAACUUCAGUUCAUUUUCUUCCUGUAGGUUGCAAAAGCAGGCUGGACCCUGGAAGAUGUUGAUGUGUUUGAAAUCAAUGAAGCCUAUGCAGCUCUUUCUGUUGCAAUAGCUAAAGAACUCGGACUAAACCCCGAGAAGGUCAACAUCGAUGGAGGAGCCAUUGCCUUGGGCCAUCCUCUGGGAGCAUCCGGCUGUAGGAUUCUAGUGACCUUGUUACACAGCCUUGAGAGAAUGGGCGGGACUCGUGGUGUGGCAGCCCUGUGCAUUGGGGGUGGGAUGGGGAUAGCAAUGUGUGUUCAGAGAGGGUGACCUGCCUGACAGCCACCACCCCUGAACACUUCUUGCUAAAUCAGUGAAACACUAUAGUAUGUGAAAUCAGAGGACCAAAGUGAGGACAGGAAGCCAGGUGGUCAGCUUGCUGUACUUUAAUGAGACACCCAAGGCUAAGACAUGGCGUCUGACACUGCUAUAAAUAAAAGGGAAAUCCAACCAAUCAGUCA